rnacentral:misc_RNA from 1 species
AACGCACAUUGCGCCCUAUGGUAUUCCAUAGGGCAUACCUGUCUGAGCGUCAGCUCCCACACUCUCAAACUUGUUUUUUUCUUUCAAGUUUGGAUUACUUUGAGGAAGUAAAAAAAAAUUUUUUUUUACUCUUCAGAAAUUUAUAGGCAGUAUGGUUUAAUCUUAAAACCAGACGUAAUAAUUUUAUAAGUUCGUCUUGGAGAGGAAAGAUUGUACUCGCCUUUUGAAUACACUCAUAAUCUGUUUAUGGGUGACCUCAGAUCAGGUAGGGAUACCCGCUGAACUUAA